UCUUUGUAGUAAUACAAGGCAUACGGCUCAGUAACACGUAGUCAACCUACCCUAUGGACAAGAAUAAUCUCGGGAAACUGGGCAUAAUUCUUGAUAGAUCAUAAUGCCUGGAAUGGUUUAUGGUUAAAAUGAUUCGUCGCCAUAGGAUGGGACUGCGGCCUAUCAGCUUGUUGGUGAGGUAAUGGCCCACCAAGGCGAUUACAGGUACGGGCUCUGAGAGGAGAAGCCCGGAGAUGGGUACUGAGACACGGACCCAGGCCCUAUGGGGCGCAGCAGGCGAGAAAACUUUGCAAUGUGCGAAAGCACGACAAGGUUAAUCCGAGUGAUUUCUGCUAAAGAAAUCUUUUGCCAGUCAUAAAACCACUGGUGAAUAAGGGGUGGGCAAGUUCUGGUGACAGCCGCCGCGGUAAAACCAGCACCUCAAGUGGUCAGGAUGAUUAUUGGGCCUAAAGCAUCCGUAGCCGGCUUUGUUAGUUCUCGGUUAAAUCCAUGUGCUCAACGCAUGGGCUGCCGAAAAUACUGCAUGGCUAGGGAGUGGGAGAGGUAGACGGUACUCAGUAGGAAGGGGUAAAAUCCUUUGAUCUAUUGAUGACCACCUGUGGCGAAGGCGGUCUACCAGAACACGUUCGACGGUGAGGGAUGAAAGCUGGGGGAGCAAACCGGAUUAGAUACCCGGGUAGUCCCAGCUGUAAACGAUGCAGACUCGAUGAUGCAUUG
rnacentral:rRNA from 1 species